UUGCCAAUAAUACUUACGUAUCUAUACGUUCAUACGAGUCGGAGCAUCGGAUGCCUCCGGAUGCGUGCGACCUUCGCUGGUAUCCUCCUUUUUUUUUCUACUCUACUACCUCCUACCUACUUCUUUUUACGCUCGACUUCCAUUUGCAUUCGUACGUUUUAACAUAUGACAUUUGUAACAGACUCCUUUUACGAGUGGAUUCGAAUCCGAUGGAAAUUAAUUUUUCUAUAUGUUUGCAUUAUUUACAUAACGUGUAGAUAUACGUGCAUCUCGAUUGAUGUCGUCGAGUAUAAACAGAUAACCUUCGCCGCGAUAAUAGUUACCUGGAGUAGGGACCCUCCUAGCUACAUGUGUGUGGUUCGCUUCACCACGAUAGUACUUAAUACCAUCGUUCGUGUUUUAUUGGCGUAACUUUUAACACGAUGAGUCGGCAACAUCGUACAUUUAUUUUCUGUUAUUUCGGCUGAUCGAAAAUAAUUUCGAUUUGGAUUCGAAAUUAUGACAGAUAAGAAUAGUGCUGUUUAAUCGAUGUAUCGCGGUGACUAUAGUAUCGCGGAGAUCGAUGCGAUUAUCCAACGACAAUUUUCGAGCCAGAUAAAGAAAAGAGGAGAUGAGGCAGAGCAUUUAAAAACUAAUUCAUGUCACACGGACGGACGACCUUCUGUAAUAGAUCGCGACCGCGUCGAGUUCGAAUGAAUAUCGAUUAAAAAAUAGCUGGCCUUACCAUAAGAAAACACCGAAUCCGGUGGCGCAAAUGCCCAGCAUUACCGCCGUUUUCCACAUGUUGGAUCGAACGCGUGCGUUACCCGGUUAUCAGAACACUCGACUACCUCGGUUACUGCUGACGAUGCACGCACGCAUGCGGCUAUGGGUACACUUGAACGCGGACGAACCUCUAUGGACUGGGUCACAGUAAUGAGAAAACCAGGUAAAGGUAUAGAAUCAAUCAACGAGACUCGGGAGCAGACUGGUCGAGCGAAGACGAGACAAUGAGAGAAAAUUUGUGUAUCAUCGGGCGAAGAAGAGUGGUGGUGUUGUGGUGGCGGCGAGGGAAACUUAUCUCUGCCGGUACCACCUAGUGGUCGAUUAUCGGUACCGUGGAAAAUUCCGCGUAUGACACGAGUCGACCGCGCAGCGAAAACUAACGUCUUUUCUAUUAAAUAUGUAUUACACCACACUACGUCCUGUGAUAAAUGUGUAUUACACCACG